CAGCGGUACCGCCCGGGAGGCCCCUCAGCCCCGCAGCGGCUCUCUCUGCUCUCUUACCUUGCAGCAUUUCCUGAUACCAUCAGAGACCACAGGUGGAGCAUUGAAAUAAAGCAAGAAAGAGCUUUCUCCUGAUGAAUUGUCCAGACAGACAUGACUGAAGAGAUGAGCAGCUACCCAUAUCCUAGGCAUAGUCUUUUUUCAGAGACACGGCAAAC